UGCAGAAUCCAAGAAGCUACCGUGAUUUCCUUGAAAUUGAUGUUUGAUACUCUACCACACGAAGUAACUAAUGCUAGUUUGAAAGAAUAUACCUAGCAGCAGAAUACUGAUUAUGACUUUACAGCUUGAUACUCUACUACAGAUAGUUAAUAAUGCUAGAUUGAAAGCAGCAGAAUACUGAUUAUGUCUUUAAAGUUUAUAGAUGGGCUUUGUACUGGACACUUCAACGAACACUGUACUGGACACUUUAA